ACAAUGAAGAGUUUGAUCCUGGCUCAGGAUGAACGCUAGCUACAGGCUUAACACAUGCAAGUCGAGGGGCAUCAGGAAGAAAGCUUGCUUUCUUUGCUGGCGACCGGCGCACGGGUGAGUAACACGUAUCCAACCUGCCCUUUACUCGGGGAUAGCCUUUCGAAAGAAAGAUUAAUACCCGAUGGGAUAAUCAUUCCGCAUGGUUUGAUUAUUAAAGGAUUCCGGUAAAGGAUGGGGAUGCGUUCCAUUAGGUUGUUGGUGAGGUAACGGCCCACCAAGCCUUCGAUGGAUAGGGGUUCUGAGAGGAAGGUCCCCCACAUUGGAACUGAGACACGGUCCAAACUCCUACGGGAGGCAGCAGUGAGGAAUAUUGGUCAAUGGGC
rnacentral:rRNA from 1 species